rnacentral:rRNA from 1 species
AGGGAACGCUGGCGGUAGGCCUAACGCAUGCAAGUCGAACGGCAGCACAGUAAGAGCUUGCUCUUAUGGGUGGCGAGUGGCGGACGGGCGAGGAAUACUACGGAAUCUACUUUUUCGUGGGGGAUAACGUAGGGAAACUUACGCUAAUACUGCAUACGACCUAUGUGUGAAAGCAUGGAUUCUUCGGAGCUUGCGCGAAUGAAUGAGCCGAUGUCGGAUUAGCUAGAUGGCGAGGUAAAGGCCAACCUAGGCGACGAUCCUUAGCUGGUCUGAGAGGAUGAUCAGCCACACUGGAAUUGAGACACGGUCCAGACUCCUACAGGAGGCAGCAGUGGAGAAUAUUGGACAAUGGGCGCAAGCCUGAUCCAGCCAUACCGCGUGGGUGAAGAAGGCCUUCGGGUUUUAAAGCCCUUUUGUUGGGAAAGAAAAGCAGCAGGUUAAUACCCCGCUGUUCUGACGGUACCCAAAGAAUAAGCACCGGCUACCUUCGUG